GACGAACGCUGGCGGCGUGCUUAACACAUGCAAGUCGAGCGGUAAGGCCCUUUCGGGGGUACACGAGCGGCGAACGGGUGAGUAACACGUGGGUGACCUGCCCUCAGCUCUGGGAUAAGCCCGGGAAACUGGGUCUAAUACCGGAUAUGACUCCAUGACGCAUGUUGUGGGGUGGAAAGCCUUGUGCGGCUGAGGAUGGGCCCGCGCCUAUCAGC
rnacentral:rRNA from 1 species